UACGUAGGGGUCGAGCGUUGUCCGGAGUUACUGGGCGUAAAGCGCGCGCAGGCGGCGCGAUAAGACCGGCGUGAAAGCCCCCGGCUCAACCGGGGAGGGUCGUUGGUGACUGUCGCGCUUGAGGGCGGUAGGGGCUGGUGGAAUUCCCGGUGUAGUGGUGAAAUGCGUAGAGAUCGGGAGGAACACCCGUGGCGAAGGCGGGCCAGCUGGGCCGAUCCCUGACGCUGAGGCGCGAAGGCGUGGGGAGCGAAACGGG
rnacentral:rRNA from 1 species